rnacentral:piRNA from 1 species
UGAGCAAAAGGAAACUACUUAGUGUC